CAGAGAUGAGAGAAAGAAACACAGGAGAGGAGCGGAUUUUAGAAGGAUAACAGCAUUGUGGAUCACCUACCUGAGAUAACACAAAAGUCGGGAUUCUUCCAUCAGACUCACAAGAAAUCAGAGAUCUUGUCCAGGAUUGGCCUUUUCUAGUAAUUCCAAAGCUCCGGGAGACUUUGAGACUGGAGACAGGAAGAAGUCUGGGCCGCCCAGUGUAGCUUCACGUCCUUCCUCAUCACGUGCGGGCGCGCCCUGGUCCAGAGUGAACGCUGUAAGACCAAAUUUCAUUUGGGCGACAACACCUACAAGGAAGGCACCGGGCCACCGAGAAAAGCUGUUAAUUGGUUG